ACGCACGCUGGCGGCGCGCCUCACCCCUGCCAGUCGAACGGAGCUGAGAGAAGCUUGCUUUUCUUAGCUUAGUGGCGAACGGGUGAGUAACGCGUGAGUAACCUGCCCUGGAGUGGGGGACAACAGUUGGAAACGACUGCUAAUACCUCAUAAGCCCACGAUCCGGCAUCGGAUUGAGGGAAAAGGAUUUAUUCGCUUCAGGAUGGACUCGCGUCCAAUUAGCUAGUUGGUGAGGUAACGGCCCACCAAGGCGACGAUUGGUAGCCGGACUGAGAGGUUGAACGGCCACAGUGGGACUGAGACACGGCCCAGACUCCUACGGGAGGCAGCAGUGGGGGAUAUUGCACAAUGGGGGAAACCCUGAUGCAGCGACGCCGCGUGGAGGAAGAAGGUGUUCGGAUUGUAAACUCCUGUCGUGAGGGACGAUAAUGACGGUACCUAACAAGAAAGCACCGGCUAACUACGUG
rnacentral:rRNA from 1 species